UCGAUCUCAAAUCAGGUAGGACUACCCGCUGAACUUAAGCAUAUCAAUAAGCGGAGGAAAAGAAACUAACAAGGAUUCCCCUAGUAACUGCGAGUGAAGCGGGAAGAGCUCAAAUUUAAAAUCUGGCGUGCCUCUGGCCGUCCGAGUUGUAGUCUGGAGAAGCGUCUUCCGUGUUGGACCGUGUAUAAGUCUCUUGGAACAGGGCGUCAUAGAGGGUGAGAAUCCCGUCUUUGACACGGACUACCAAUGCUUGGUGAUGCGCUCUCAAAGAGUCGAGUUGUUUGGGAAUGCAGCUCAAAAUGGGUGGGUAAAUCCAUCUAAAGCUAAUAUAGGCGAGAGACCGAUAGCGAACAAGUACCGUGAGGGAA
rnacentral:rRNA from 1 species